AUACUUACCUGGCGCAGGGGACACCAUGAUCCUCAAGGUGGUUCCCCCAUCGUGAGGCUUGCUCAUUGCACCUACGAGUGCCCAGCAAACACGGAACAUUCCCCUAACGUUACCAGCAGGUGUAAAUUUUGGUCACCUGCAGGUAACAUUAGGCUAACGUGGC
rnacentral:snRNA from 1 species